rnacentral:rRNA from 1 species
GGGUUGUGAGGUUAAGCGACUAAGCGUACACGGUGGAUGCCCUGGCAGUCAGAGGCGAUGAAGGACGUGCUAAUCUGCGAUAAGCGUCGGUAAGGUGAUAUGAACCGUUAUAACCGGCGAUUUCCGAAUGGGGAAACCCAGUGUGAUUCGUCACACUAUCAUUAACUGAAUCCAUAGGUUAAUGAGGCGAACCGGGGGAACUGAAACAUCUAAGUACCCCGAGGAAAAGAAAUCAACCGAGAUUCCCCCAGUAGCGGCGAGCGAACGGGGAGGAGCCCAGAGCCUGAAUCAGUGUGUGUGUUAGUGGAAGCGUCUGGAAAGGCGCGCGAUACAGGGUGACAGCCCCGUACACAAAAAUACACAUAUUGUGAGCUCGAUGAGUAGGGCGGGACACGUGGUAUCCUGUCUGAAUAUGGGGGGACCAUCCUCCAAGGCUAAAUACUCCUGACUGACCGAUAGUGAACCAGUACCGUGAGGGAAAGGCGAAAAGAACCCCGGCGAGGGGAGUGAAAAAGAACCUGAAACCGUGUACGUACAAGCAGUGGGAGCACGCUUAGGCGUGUGACUGCGUACCUUUUGUAUAAUGGGUCAGCGACUUAUAUUCUGUAGCAAGGUUAACCGAAUAGGGGAGCCGAAGGGAAACCGAGUCUUAACUGGGCGUUAAGUUGCAGGGUAUAGACCCGAAACCCGGUGAUCUAGCCAUGGGCAGGUUGAAGGUUGGGUAACACUAACUGGAGGACCGAACCGACUAAUGUUGAAAAAUUAGCGGAUGACUUGUGGCUGGGGGUGAAAGGCCAAUCAAACCGGGAGAUAGCUGGUUCUCCCCGAAAGCUAUUUAGGUAGCGCCUCGUGAAUUCAUCUCCGGGGGUAGAGCACUGUUUCGGCAAGGGGGUCAUCCCGACUUACCAACCCGAUGCAAACUGCGAAUACCGGAGAAUGUUAUCACGGGAGACACACGGCGGGUGCUAACGUCCGUCGUGAAGAGGGAAACAACCCAGACCGCCAGCUAAGGUCCCAAAGUCAUGGUUAAGUGGGAAACGAUGUGGGAAGGCCCAGACAGCCAGGAUGUUGGCUUAGAAGCAGCCAUCAUUUAAAGAAAGCGUAAUAGCUCACUGGUCGAGUCGGCCUGCGCGGAAGAUGUAACGGGGCUAAACCAUGCACCGAAGCUGCGGCAGCGACGCUUAUGCGUUGUUGGGUAGGGGAGCGUUCUGUAAGCCUGCGAAGGUGUGCUGUGAGGCAUGCUGGAGGUAUCAGAAGUGCGAAUGCUGACAUAAGUAACGAUAAAGCGGGUGAAAAGCCCGCUCGCCGGAAGACCAAGGGUUCCUGUCCAACGUUAAUCGGGGCAGGGUGAGUCGACCCCUAAGGCGAGGCCGAAAGGCGUAGUCGAUGGGAAACAGGUUAAUAUUCCUGUACUUGGUGUUACUGCGAAGGGGGGACGGAGAAGGCUAUGUUGGCCGGGCGACGGUUGUCCCGGUUUAAGCGUGUAGGCUGGUUUUCCAGGCAAAUCCGGAAAAUCAAGGCUGAGGCGUGAUGACGAGGCACUACGGUGCUGAAGCAACAAAUGCCCUGCUUCCAGGAAAAGCCUCUAAGCAUCAGGUAACAUCAAAUCGUACCCCAAACCGACACAGGUGGUCAGGUAGAGAAUACCAAGGCGCUUGAGAGAACUCGGGUGAAGGAACUAGGCAAAAUGGUGCCGUAACUUCGGGAGAAGGCACGCUGAUAUGUAGGUGAAGUCCCUUGCGGAUGGAGCUGAAAUCAGUCGAAGAUACCAGCUGGCUGCAACUGUUUAUUAAAAACACAGCACUGUGCAAACACGAAAGUGGACGUAUACGGUGUGACGCCUGCCCGGUGCCGGAAGGUUAAUUGAUGGGGUCAGCGCAAGCGAAGCUCUUGAUCGAAGCCCCGGUAAACGGCGGCCGUAACUAUAACGGUCCUAAGGUAGCGAAAUUCCUUGUCGGGUAAGUUCCGACCUGCACGAAUGGCGUAAUGAUGGCCAGGCUGUCUCCACCCGAGACUCAGUGAAAUUGAACUCGCUGUGAAGAUGCAGUGUACCCGCGGCAAGACGGAAAGACCCCGUGAACCUUUACUAUAGCUUGACACUGAACAUUGAGCCUUGAUGUGUAGGAUAGGUGGGAGGCUUUGAAGUGUGGACGCCAGUCUGCAUGGAGCCGGCCUUGAAAUACCACCCUUUAAUGUUUGAUGUUCUAACGUGGACCCGUGAUCCGGGUUGCGGACAGUGUCUGGUGGGUAGUUUGACUGGGGCGGUCUCCUCCUAAAGAGUAACGGAGGAGCACGAAGGUUGGCUAAUCCUGGUCGGACAUCAGGAGGUUAGUGCAAUGGCAUAAGCCAGCUUGACUGCGAGCGUGACGGCGCGAGCAGGUGCGAAAGCAGGUCAUAGUGAUCCGGUGGUUCUGAAUGGAAGGGCCAUCGCUCAACGGAUAAAAGGUACUCCGGGGAUAACAGGCUGAUACCGCCCAAGAGUUCAUAUCGACGGCGGUGUUUGGCACCUCGAUGUCGGCUCAUCACAUCCUGGGGCUGAAGUAGGUCCCAAGGGUAUGGCUGUUCGCCAUUUAAAGUGGUACGCGAGCUGGGUUUAGAACGUCGUGAGACAGUUCGGUCCCUAUCUGCCGUGGGCGCUGGAGAACUGAGGGGGGCUGCUCCUAGUACGAGAGGACCGGAGUGGACGCAUCACUGGUGUUCGGGUUGUCAUGCCAAUGGCACUGCCCGGUAGCUAAAUGCGGAAGAGAUAAGUGCUGAAAGCAUCUAAGCACGAAACUUGCCCCGAGAUGAGUUCUCCCUGACCCUUUAAGGGUCCUGAAGGAACGUUGAAGACGACGACGUUGAUAGGCCGGGUGUGUAAGCGCAGCGAUGCGUUGAGCUAACCGGUACUAAUGAACCGUGAGG